rnacentral:lncRNA from 1 species
UGGGGAUGUACAAGUACCUGGCAAUGUCAACUCUGUGUUUUUGUUAGAUGUAUUUGCUUUGUAUUAAUCUGAUGAGUUAACUUAAAAGACCUUUUCAACUGAUUUUUAUAAUACGUUCUUGUAUUGUACUGUCCAAGGCUAAAAAAUGGGUUGUCAUGCCUUCAAACUAAUUUAAUCCUUUCACGUUUUGUAUGUGCCUCUAAUUCAGCAGUUGUCAUUUUUUACUGUAAAUCGUUUUUGUUUCUCCAUU